CAAGGGAAUAUAAUUUGUUUUAGUGGUAUCAAAGCCACAACAUAUAUAAAGGGACAUAACAUGUGUGGCCCAAAUUCAACUUUACUUAGGUCACGAUAUUGAAAGACAGGAGGAAUUUCAGCACUUGAUUCAAUACACAUGGAAUUGUAUUGAAUUGAAACACAGUAUUCAGACAAAAAAAAGUUCUGAUUUGGGGGAAAAUCAGUUAACCUAUCAAACUAUAAUGAUGGCUUGCUUAUUUUAGCCUAACAGGGUUAUUCACUAAAGUGAGAAUGCACAGUGAAUUCAAAUGGUUCUUCACAUUUAAGGCAAGAGUACAUUGGUUUGAAAGCAUAGCUGUCUUGGCGUUAUACUUGAUUCUGGCCUCACCUUUAAGUCUCACAUCCAGUCUGUUACCAAAUCCUGUAGAUUCCACCUUAAAAACAUAGCCCGCAUCCACCCCUUUCUCAGGAGCUUGUCCAUGCUCUAGUAAUAUCUUGCAUGGAUUAUUGUAACUCUCUCCUAAUAGGGCUUCCCACAAGUUGUAUUGCCCCGCUACAGUCUGUAAUGAAUGCUGCAGAAGAAUGCUCAUCCCGAGAAUGC